GUGAACGCUGGCGGUAGGCCUAACACAUGCAAGUCGAACGGCAGCACAGUAAGAGCUUGCUCUUACGGGUGGCGAGUGGCGGACGGGUGAGGAAUACAUCGGAAUCUACUUUUUCGUGGGGGAUAACGUAGGGAAACUUACGCUAAUACCGCAUACGACCUACGGGUGAAAGCAGGGGAUCUUCGGACCUUGCGCGAUUGAAUGAGCCGAUGUCGGAUUAGCUAGUUGGCGGGGUAAAGGCCCACCAAGGCGACGAUCCGUAGCUGGUCUGAGAGGAUGAUCAGCCACACUGGAACUGAGACACGGUCCAGACUCCUACGGGAGGCAGCAGUGGGGAAUAUUGGACAAUGGGCGCAAGCCUGAUCCAGCCAUACCGCGUGGGUGAAGAAGGCCUUCGGGUUGUAAAGCCCUGUUGUUGGGAAAGAAAAGCAGCAGGUUAAUACCCCGCUGUUCUGACGGUACCCAAAGAAUAAGCACCGGCUAACUUCGUG
rnacentral:rRNA from 1 species